AAGGCCUUAGCUUAAUUAAAGUGUUUGAGUUGCAUUCAUUAGAUAUGGGGGAAGGUCCUGUAGGUCUUA
rnacentral:tRNA from 1 species